rnacentral:rRNA from 1 species
UACGUAGGGGGCAAGCGUUGUCCGGAUUUAUUGGGCGUAAAGAGCGUGUAGGCGGCCAGACAGGUCUGCUGUGAAAACUCGAGGCUCAACCUCGAGACGCCGGUGGAAACCGUCUGGCUAGAGUCCGGAAGAGGAGAGUGGAAUUCCUGGUGUAGCGGUGAAAUGCGCAGAUAUCAGGAAGAACACCCGUGGCUAAGGCGGCUCUCUAGUACGGUACUGACGCUGAGACGCGAAAGCGUGGGGGAGCAAACAGG